GUGAGAGACAGAAACAAAAAUGAAAAAAAAAAUAUUACGAAAAAUUUAUAAAUCGAUAUCGCGACUCUUGUAGCGACUAAAGGCGCGUAUUAAAUGAGCGAAUACAUAUUUUUCGAGUGCAACGAACGACUCGAAAGGUUGAAACAACGUGGGUGAUCCGUACCGACGUUAAAAGGCUGUCAAUGCGUGUCAAAAAUAGUUUUGACAAAGUAACGUCACGAAAGUCUCAGGCCCCGUCCGCACAAGACGACGUACUAUGUAAACAUCACGCGAGCGUUUUCGACCUCGAGAAUUUUCAAAGAAGCGACAUUUCGCCGCGACGACGGACACUCCGCAUCGUGCGGAGUCUCGAUAUUGCCCAACGGUCGUGUCUUUCACGUUCGGGCCUCGACUUCUCAACACAGACGCUCGACGCGACAAAGGGCUUCGCUGCUAGCAGACGGCAUACCUAGUGACCUAUAUACAUUCGGCGACUGUGCUACAACGUACCAGAGUCCGUCCGAGCGACGGCUUUGAGAGCGGAUAUUUUUCUAUGGCAGUUACUUCCAUCACGCAGAAGCUUUUCCAGAAUUAACAAAAGGAUCUUAACCUAGCAGAGCUAGAAUGAAGCAGCUGACGGAAUAUAUAUAAUGAAUCGAACAAGUGAAAAAAAAACGAAAAACUCUCUCACCCAAGUAUUCCCAUGUAACGAAACAUCAUACGGAUCUUGCGCAAUCGCUUCCAUCUGGCGAGAAAAUUUUUAUCGCGCUUUUUUGGUAGAUCCCACUGGCGUGGGCAUACGCUGCAAAGCAUGCCCAAUUCAUCGUCGCAACGCAUCGUCCUCCCGACGUCCCCCCGGCCCGCCACGUCGUACCCGAAGACGCCCGUGAGUCGGCGCUUACCGCCUUAAUAUCGCGCGUCUCCAGUCGAUCAGCUAUUAUAACGGCAGAGGAUACUCCGCGAGACGUCUUAAGUACAAGGCGUGCAAGGAGCCUCGAGACAAGAGAGGAAGCUCGAUGAAUAUUAAACAGUGCGAAUAAUAAAAAGGAGAAUUAUCGACGAGGUAAAAAGAGGAGGUAGCAGUAUAACAGAAAAAGAGAGAGACGAGUAGUAUGAAUGAGAGAAGAAAAGAAUAAGAGACAUGGAAAGAAGAAAAA